GCUCCUUUGAGUGAAACUUCAUUCACAGUCGUGAUGCAGAGCCGUUGCUACACGCUGUCGGUUCUGUGUAUGGGGUGGGUGUGACCAGCAAACUUGCGCUCAAGGGGAAAAGUCGCGUUCCAACCACCGUGAAUGAGUGCAGAGCGAUCUAAACGCCGUUCCGAAUGAACUGGAGGGGGAAGAGAGCGGGGUUAAUUUUAUCACUGAUCAUUUCCGAGCGUGUCUGCUCACCAUGAAGUAGGCUUCUGAGACUGGGUCCCCACUGAGUUAAUUCAACUUGCGACUCCAACCAAACGGCACUUUCUGCACCGGGUAAAAGAUGCUGCUCAAUCUACAGCUACAAUCAACCAAGGAUAUCGUGUCUGUACGGAGCGAUGACCAGGGGGACUGAAGGCGGAGCACGUCACUCCCCGGUGAGACCGUGGGGGGGGGGGGGAGGGGUGACGAUGACACAGUCAGCUGCGGUGGCGAGCGUGAGAACAACCCAGAACCUCGGCCCACAGGACACGCAUCAUCAGGAAGCGCAUCAUUAUGACAUCAUCACCGCUGGACCGGAAUGUGUGGGACUGCUGGGGGCUUGACCUUUCACCCUGUAAGGCAGAGGUGGGCAGCAAGGGCUUUAUCUAUCUCUGCUUCUCAUGCCAACGUCUGGCCUCAAUGAGCCCAGCGUUUACACCAUCAACAUCCUAUCAGAUCUGAAUGCCCGUGGCUGAUCUACCCCAGAGUGUGGCUGAUCUACCCCAGAGUGUGGCUGAUCUACAGCAGAGUGUGGCACUGAUCUACCCCAGAGUGUGACUGAUCUACAGCAGAGUGUGACUGAUCUACAGCAGAGUGUGACUGAUCUACCCCAGAGUGUGGCUGAUCUACAGCACAGUGUGACUGAUCUACCCCAGAGUGUGGCUGAUCUACAGCAGAGUGUGGCUGAUCUACAGCAGAGUGUGACUGAUCUACCACAGAGUGUGGCUGAUCUACCCCAGAGUGUGGCUGAUCUACAGCAGAGUGUGACUGAUCUACCCCAGAGUGUGGCUGAUCUACCCCAGAGUGUGGCUGAUCUACAGCAGAGUGUGGCUGAUCUACCCCAGAGUGUGGCUGAUCUACCCCAGAGUGUGGCUGAUCUACCCCAGAGUGUGACUGAUCUACAGCAGAGUGUGGCUGAUCUACCCCAGAGUGUGACUGAUCUACCCCAGAGUGUGGCUGAUCUACAGCAGAGUGUGGCUGAUCUACCCCAGAGUGUGGCUGAUCUACCCCAGAGUGUGGCUGAUCUACCACAGAGUGUGACUGAUCUACAGCAGAGUGUGGCUGAUCUACAGCAGAGUGUGACUGAUCUACAGCAGAGUGUGGCUGAUCUACAGCAGAGUGUGGCUGAUCUACAGCAGAGUGUGGCUGAUCUACCCCAGAGUGUGACUGAUCUACCCCAGAGUGUGGCUGAUCUACCCCAGAGUGUGGCUGAUCUACAGCAGAGUGAUCCCAGUCUGCUCAUUUAGCCUGGGGGACGGAAACCUGCACCCCCGGAAGAACAGGAAAAUGCAUUAUUACAAAGGAGGACAUUUUUCACAGGAGUGAAAAAUGUAUUGGUGCUGCUUCUGAAGAUGCUGUCCUUUCAAAACAUGAGUCGUGAAUGUCUUUUUUGUAAUAAUUUAUUAUGUUAUUACUUUUGUUUUUGCUCUUCUAUCUAAGGUGUUGAUGAAAAACAAAGUCCAUCUCUUAAUAGUUCAGUUAUAAAAUUAAAUAAAAAAUAGAUUUCUUCA